CAGUACCCCACAGUGUUGUGCAAUUCUUCAGAUAGCAGUUCACUCAAUGUUUUUGUCUGUUAGAGUUUUAUUGACGUGAAACGGUUUUGGGGAAAGCCACUGAAAGAGUUGCCUGUGAUGCUCAUUACUUUGAAAAUCUAUAUAUCGUUCUUUGACACUACGUAAUACAGCACAAACAAAGCAGCGCAGGUGUGAUUUUGUUGCAUGCCGACCACGUCCUCUAGAUCACUGUUAUUGCUUACACUUCUUGUAGUCUGCUCAUACUCAAAACAAAUGUGUGUUUUGUUGUUUGUUUCAUAUUGACUCCCAUUUGGUUGCAGGAAUGCAUUAUUUAGGCUCAUAUAGGAAUAAAUGAUUGAUGGUAAUAGUGCUUGAACUUAAAAUGUCAGGUAAUGUUUUUGGCAGCUACCCCUCCCACAAGCGUAUCUGUGCAGUGCUGUUUAUUCUGCUUAUAAAUAUGAUGGUCAAGUGCCAUUACCAAUAAGUUGGGCACAGAAAUCAUUUGUCAAUGGCAAGUCGGCAAAGAACAAGACGAAGCAAAUUGAUAUAACGUUAAAGGUUUGUCUCCUCUACUGCAGUCACACAGUUAUCGCUGACCAUGUUGGCUCAUAAUUCACACACUGGGGCGAGGCCAUUAAAAUGGUUGUUGGCUAAAUGAAAAUGCAAGCAUGACAUUUAACACUUGGCUUUAUUCAUUCUGCGCUUUGGCCUUCUUUCUACUAACUGUUAAAAUUGCUUAUGACUAAUAUGGAAAUUGAAUGCAGUCUGCAAAUCCAAGCAUGCCAUGAAUAUCAUUUAUUUACUGUAUUGUUUUAUAAAAGACAUCUCUCGUUAUUACAAGGCCAUUACUAUUGUAGACAUUGAGAAAUAUGCGUCAUACCCGUGUUACGUUCAAUAACCGUCUGCGUCAUUGUUACAAUAUCAGUUUUAAGUCUGGUUUCCUGGCAGGCGGGCUAAUAGGGAAGGUAUAACUUUUGUUAACUUUAACUUUGAUUUGUUCCUGGGUGUGGCUUAAGCUUGAACUCUCUAAUGUUGACAUACAAGUUCAAAAAUUGGUCAGAUUGUAAUUCUCAGAUACACCUCCAUUGGCUGCACCUUUCAGAAAGAGGUGAAAGAAUACCAGUUUCAUUAAAACUAUGGACAAAGUGUCCUGAUGGCCUAUUUGUCAUUAAUAAAAGAGAUCAGGUGUUCUUAUUUGUUGAGGCUAUGAAUUGAGGAAGUUAGAUCGUAUGAAACAAGUACAAACUUAAAAGUUAAGAAAUACUGUAAAGGGUCAUUUACAGCAGGAUUCUAAGUUAAUAUGUUUGCAAUAAAAAAAUAGAUAUUUUUACAAAAUACUAAUAUAUAUAAAAUAAAAAAAAUAGAGACAAGCUGUAUUUUUUACUUGGGAUAGCUAUUUGGAGCGUUUGGCCUUAAAGCUCGUUGUCAGACAUAUUUUUUCACUUGUACAACUGUACUAUGCAUUCCUUACACCAAGCUUGGUAGAGCCUCUGUCGUGUACUCCUGUGAUUUACCUCCAGGACAUAAAAUUUAGGCUUGGACAGAAAAUGUAACAACUCUCCAAGGUGUCUGUUACCUGGAAACCCCUCAAAAUGCUCUGAUUUUACGAUCAACACAUGUUGUCGCUUGUUUAACAAAGGACCAUUUAACAAACCAUUGGGCCCAUCACCUCAUUGAAACAUAAGCGUAAAAUCCAGCCACCAUUUUCAGAAAAACAAGGUUUAUUGUUUUCCUCUUAAAUCCAGCUGUACUAUGUCAACAAUCUUGAGUUAAUAAGCCAACCUGGAACUGAGAGAUCAUUUGCUUACAUACGUCCAAACACUUGAACCAAGCACACCAGAAAGGCCCACUUUGUUUCUUGUUGCAGGUCUGCAGCUUCUGAAUACAAAUGAGAGUUUUUUUGGUCUAAAAAAUUACAGCAGCUCCUAAAGGCAUCGUCUGCCGGCUUUAGCAACACCUCCCAGCUUCUCUCUCAUGAACUCACAGAUACACUUCCAUCAGAUCAUUUCAAAGUCCAGUUUUUUCAACGGAACUCUAUAGCAAACCAUCAAUUAUGUCAUUACAAACCUUGUCAUUACAUUACGUACGCUGUCCGCCAAUGUGCUUCUUUCCAUGAUUCCAGUCCUUAGUCAUCCCUUUAUGUAUGCGCGUGUAGAUGCGAAACAGUGGUUGUGCUAGAACGUGCUUGGAGUGGUCAAUUGCGUCAUCCUAUCAGCCAAAAGGAAUUUGAAAACUUUCAUCUUUUUCGAUGUAACUUUCAAUUCAAUUAAAGGGGAACAUUUUUGUCAAGCAAAAGCCAUAAAUACCUUCACUGCUUGUUUCUUUUCCUCUGGCUCUUAGAAUAAUAGUAAAGAGCAGGUAAUGAUCUCUAAUUUUUUCCUGAUGCCCCGCAAUGCUCAUGAAAGUGAGAUUGAAUUUUAGUUGAGCAAGCUUUGAUGUGUUUGAAUCGAUAUGUUUCUGCCGCAUGUUCAUAGAUCCUUGUUGGAUAUGUUUAAACACGCAAAAGCCUCCAUCUUGAAAUCACAACGUUGAUGCAAAAAGAUGUUGUUUGUUUAUGUGACCGGAACCCGUCACAGAUGUGGAAUUUGUAGGGCUGGGGAUGAUGAAAAAGCAACACACUUCAAACAUCGUCAUUAUAAAUAUGCUUUCUUAUCAUGAAAAUACCUGAAAAGGUUUGAAGAACCCAACGUUUUUUGGCCCAAAAUCCUUAUUUUCACAUACUGUAUAAUGACCGGAAAUAACUAAGGCUGCCCACACUCGCUGAUCGAAUAUCUAAUAUGGUGGCUUAGUGCAACUAGCCCAUCAGCAUUUCCUGGAGCUACUGCAAAUUGUCUAUUUCAAAACUAUAUAGUAGGCGAAAAUGAGUAUGAGUCAUGAAUAACAUGUCCGAAUCCUCAGUAUGUAAAAAAUAGUACGGGAGAAAUACCCGGAUGGUCUACUACUUCCGCCGAGAUUCGUGAGUGUGGAUCGGAUGGACACUUCUCUAUCCCAUGAUGACAUGGGAGCUUAGCAACUGUCAAAUUACAAAAGUAUUUUGACAGUUGCUAAGGUGUACGUCCGUUUUUAAUGUAAGUGCCAAUAAAUGAAUUUCUCGUGACUAAAUUACGUUUUUAUCAAUGCUUACGUAUAAGGUUGUUGUAAAUACGUCAUAGGUCAAAGAACAUACAGGUCACAUGACCAUAAAACAUGGCAGACGCAGUAUGUCCGAAAUGUAUUCAUACUACUCCCACUCAUACUAUAUAGAACGUACUGUUUUAACGGCCGAUAGGUAGGAACUUAUUCAAAAUCAGUACUUACUGUCACAGUAUGUGAUUUCAAACGCAGCGAACAUGUGUAAAUCGUUUUCAGUGUCCCAUAUUUGGAGUUUCCGCACAAGAGCACACUCUGGCUAAGGGAUAUGGCGGCAUUUAACUGUAAUUCAUUACGAAACUGUGCAUAAAAAUUACUAGAUAUAUUGUCCCAAUCCUGGUUAUUUGUCUUUUAUUGAAACAGACAAACAAUUCAAAAGACUCCAGGGAAAAACACAGAUCAGUUUUUCAGUUUUGUAUUCUUAAUUUGAAGGGACAACUAUCUAAGCCAUUUUUAGGUUUAUUUGUCACGUCCAUAAAACAUUGUUUCAUCCUUAACGGUCCAUAUUUUUCAUAAAUGUCCACAGGAAAAUGUAAAUAUCAUUGUUUUAUGCUUUGUGAAGACCAUUUGUUGGGUAUUUUUGCUUCUGGUUUUGCAUUUUGAUUCACUGAAAUCCAAUUUUUUUAUAGCUGGACUAUCAGCAGAGGUUCUCUGUAAGAUCUAAACGGGUGGUUCAAUAUAUUGAUAAUAAAUACUUUCUCUGUUUAUAUUUCAAGACCAUGCCAAAGUGAACGGGAAUGAUCACUGCAGGUGCUGCUUUUCUACAUCAACUCUAGACUUCAUUUCUCAUCAUCAGAUCUGUCCUCCCAACCAAAAUAUUUCCAUAGCAACCCAGCUGUCGGCCCGAGCAUGUUUGUUAUGUACACCGCACCUCUUGAAGUGGGCUUUCAGCUGGUCGGAGACAUUCUUACAUUGAGGGGUCCCUUCAAUGGCAUUUAACAGUGUAACAGUUUCACAAGCAUGUAUUAAGUCCAUCUAGGAGACUUUUCACAUCCACAGUGGCGGUUUUUAGAGAGAUUUUCUUACAGAUGGGUCAAUAUAUACUGCAGCCUGCACAUGUCUAGGUUGCUGACAAGAUACUAUGCAGAGCGCAGACGGGAUUGCAGCUGUAAGACAAUAUGGAGUUAUUUCUCGUACCUGUGCAAGGGCACACCAGGAAAUAUCAAAGCAACACAAACUCUCUGUCUGAGAUAUAUUAAAAGAACCUUUCACCUAAAUAUGAAAAAGUCUGUCUUCAUUUACUCAGCCUCAAGUUGGUCCAAAUCUGUACACAUUUCUUUGUUCUGUUGCACACAAAAGAAGAUAUUUUGAAGAAUGUAGGAAAGCAAACAGUUCUGGGGCACUUUUGACUACCAUUGUAAAAUUUCCUACUAUGGUAGUCAGUGGUGACCAAGAACUGUUUGUUUAGAAGCAUUUUUCCAGAUAUUUUUCUCUGGGUUCAUCGGAACAAAGAAAUUUGGAAAAAAGAAACUUGAUGGUGAAUAAAUGAUGACAGAAGUUUCAUUUUUGAUUGAACUGUCCUUUUAAGGGUCUGUCAAAGAGGAUGUGUUUAUGAAGUUUGUCUGCAGUGUUUUUCUUCUUCUGUGUACAUAGACUGUAGUAUUUACAUUUUGUCUUGCUGUUGUCUGAAAACAGCUUUAAAAAAUGUUCUUGUGUUUGCAUUCAUAAUGCAAUGUAACAAAUUAAAAUAAAUUUGCAUGAAGUUUA